AUUUACAUAAAGUGACACUUUGCAUGAGAGUGUUUAUAGUGCUGUGAGUUUAACACUUCAUGACUGACAGCAGAACAGAACACAAUCUUCAUCAUCACACAACACAAAACAACAACAAUGACCUUCAGCAUCAUCUUCAUCUGGACUUUUUACAUGUGUUUUCAAGGUUUCAGUGGACAGGUGACUGUGACUCAGACUCCCUCGAUACAAAUGGUUCAGAUUGGCGGAUCUGUCACUAUAAGUUGCAAAACUAACACAUUAGUGAGCAAUGGCUGUCCUGGUUCAUAUACUUGUAUGGCCUGGUACCAGCAGAAAUCUGGAGAAGCUCCUAAACUACUUAUUAAAUAUGCGAGCCAAAGGCAGUCAAAUAUUCCAUCUAGAUUCAGUGGCAGUGGAUCAAGAACUGAUUUCACUCUGACCAUCAGUGGAGUCCAGACUGAAGAUACAGGAGAUUAUUACUGUCAGAGUGCACACUACAUAAGUAGUAGCUGGGUGUUCACACAGUGAUAAAAAGUCGUACAAAAACCUCCGUCAGUCAGACUGCACAGUGACUGCACUGAUACAACUGACAGAUACUGCAGCUGCUCAUACAACACAAUCACUCAGUAUAGCCUAAAGUCUUAAGAGACUUUAAAUAAUAUUUAUUUAUAUACUUUUGACUACUAAUUUAUAUCUAAUUAAAUAUUUUUAUUUGUCUGGAUUUUUAUUUUUCACAGUUUCAACAUGCUGUUUAUUUCAUCAAAGAUGUGCUUUGUCAAAAUGUCCAUUGGUAAAAAAACAUCCAAAUAAAGCUGCUGAUUAUGCAGUGAAACAUCAGUCAGAGUUUCUCAGUGAAGAGCUCUGAUUAACAGAUACUGAAGAACACACAUCAGAAUGAAUCAUUCACUGUGUCUUAUCACAGAGUGAACAGUUCAUUCAAACAUUCAUAAUGUCAGUAUGACUGCUGAAAACUGAUGAAUAUGAACAAACCUCAUCUCUCCAUUAGUCAAACUGAACUGUCUCAUUUCACAGAAUAAAGUGUCAAACAGUUCAACUCAUAUUUGCAUCAUCAGGGUGAGUGAUUCUGUUCCUCUCAGAAUAGAGCAGCUCCAUCAGCAGAUGUUCAUCAUCCUCAGAGGAGUUUCAUGUUACAGUAAUACUGUCAACACAUAGAAGAACCAGCAAACAAAACACACUGACAUGUGAAGGAUAUGUGUCUGUCAUAUUUAUAUUUCAAAAAUCUCUUAUUAAAUUGAUAAAGUUACCAACAGCACUAAAUGUUUGAGGUUUAGUCAUUUGGUCACAGUCUUGUUUUAAAAUAAAUAUCAGCAGGUGUUUUCAUGGUCCGUUGAGUGAAGUUUUAUUAUAAACUUUGAACUAAAAAGUAUUUCAUUUUCAAAAAAGACCACACAAAUCAAAGACAUAAAGGUAGAAUAUUAUUUUAUUUGAUGACUGAAUUUUGCUAAAAGACAAUGAGCAGUGAAUAAAAAAGCACACAUGCACUGGUGUCUGAUGUUGUUUGACAGACGAGAGAGAGAAUGAAUGGAGUCCCUCAUGUGCUGUUAGUCUCCAUGUGAGACAUCAGUAAGAAGGGCAGAA